CAGACCUAACGGUGUGGGAUUAUCAAACCCUGAUUACAGACCUAACGGUGUGGGAUUAUCUAACCCUAACCCUGAUUACAGACCUAACGGUGUGGGAUUAUCUAACCCUAACCCUGAUUACAGACCUAAUGGUGUGGGAUUAUCUAACCCUGAUUACAGACCUAACACUAACAGACACUCUGUUUCUCUUUGUUCUCACAUGGAUUCUAAAUAUGUCUCCAAUGUUGUUCAUUGGAUCUGAUAUUAUGUGUGGACAGAUUCCAGGUUAGACACAGUGGUAGUCUUUGGUCUGAUAUCAUGUGUUGACAGAUUCCAGGUUAGACACAGUGGUAGUCUUUGGUCUGAUAUCAUGUGUUGACAGAUUCCAGGUUAGACACAGUGGUAGUCUUUGGUCUGAUAUCAUGUGUUGACAGAUUCCAGGUUAGACACAGUGGUAGUCUUUGGUCUGAUAUCAUGUGUUGACAGAUUCCAGGUUAGACACAGUGGUAGUCUUUGGUCUGAUAUCAUGUGUUGACAGAUUCCAGGUUAGACACAGUGGUAGUCUUUGGUCUGAUAUCAUGUGUUGACAGAUUCCAGGUUAGACACAGUGGUAGUCUUUGGUCUGAUAUCAUGUGUUGACAGAUUCCAGGUUAGACACAGUGGUAGUCUUUGGUCUGAUAUCAUGUGUUGACAGAUUCCAGGUUAGACACAGUGGUAGUCUUUGGUCUGAUAUCAUGUGUUGACAGAUUCCAGGUUAGACACAGUGGUAGUCUUUGGUCUGAUAUCAUGUGUUGACAGAUUCCAGGUUAGACACAGUGGUAGUCUUUGGUCUGAUAUCAUGUGUUGACAGAUUCCAGGUUAGACACAGUGGUAGUCUUUGGUCUGAUAUCAUGUGUUGACAGAUUCCAGGUUAGACACAGUGGUAGUCUUUGGUCUGAUAUCAUGUGUUGACAGAUUCCAGGUUAGACACAGUGGUAGUCUUUGGUCUGAUAUCAUGUGUUGACAGAUUCCAGGUUAGACACAGUGGUAGUCUUUGGUCUGAUAUCAUGUGUUGACAGAUUCCAGGUUAGACACAGUGGUAGUCUUUGGUCUGAUAUCAUGUGUUGACAGAUUCCAGGUUAGACACAGUGGUAGUCUUUGGUCUGAUAUCAUGUGUUGACAGAUUCCAGGUUAGACACAGUGGUAGUCUUUGGUCUGAUAUCAUGUGUUGACAGAUUCCAGGUUAGACACAGUGGUAGUCUUUGGUCUGAUAUCAUGUGUGUUGACAGAUUCCAGGUUAGACACAGUGGUAGUCUUUGGUUUGAUAUCAUAUGUGUUGACAGAUCACAGGUUAGACACAGUGGUAGUCUUUGGUCUGAUAUCAUGUGUGUUGACAGAUCACAGGUUAGACACAGUGGUAGUCUUUGGUCUUAUAUCAUGUGUGUUGACAGAUUCCAGGUUAGACACAGUGGUAGUCUUUGGUCUGAUAUCAUAUGUGUUGACAGAUCACAGGUUAGACACAGUGGUAGUCUUUGGUCUGAUAUCAUGUGU